rnacentral:rRNA from 1 species
GACGAACGCUGGCGGCGUGCUUAAUACAUGCAAGUGGAGCGACGAACCAGGGCUUGCCCUGGGGCAGAGCCGCGAACGGGUGAGCAACACGUGGGUAACCUGCCUCGAUGACCGGGACAGCCCGAGGAAACUCGGGCUAAUACCGGAUGUGCUCUCCUCACAUCAGUGGGAAGAGGAAAGGAAGCUUCGGCCUCCGCAUCGGGAUGGGCCCGCGGCCCAUUAGCUAGUUGGGGGGUAAUGGCCUACCAAGGCUUCGAUGGGUAGCUGUUCUGAGAGGAAGAUCAGCCACACUGGGACUGAGACACGGCCCAGACUCCUACGGGAGGCAGCAGUAGGGAAUCUUGCGCAAUGCGCGAAAGCGUGACGCAGCAACGCCGCGUGCGGGAAGACGGCCUGG